GGCUUGUUGGUCUAGUGGUAUGAUUCUCGCUUUGGGUUCGAGAGGUUCUGUGUUCAAAUCCCAGAUGAGCCC
rfam:Xenopus tropicalis strain Nigerian Chr03_contig_3625, whole genome shotgun sequence.